GACGAACGCUGGCGGCGUGCUUAACACAUGCAAGUCGAACGGAAAGGCCCUGCUUUUGUGGGGUGCUCGAGUGGCGAACGGGUGAGUAACACGUGAGUAACCUGCCCUUGACUUUGGGAUAACUUCAGGAAACUGGGGCUAAUACCGGAUAGGAGCUCCUGCUGCGUGGUGGGGGUUGGAAAGUUUCGGCGGUUGGGGAUGGACUCGCGGCUUAUCAGCUUGUUGGUGGGGUAGUGGCUUACCAAGGCUUUGAAGGGUAGCCGGCCUGAGAGGGUGACCGGCCACAUUGGGACUGAGAUACGGACCAGACUCCUACGGGAGGCAGCAGUGGGGAAUAUUGCACAAUGGGCGGAAGCCUGAUGCAGCAACGCCGCGUGCGGGAUGACGGCCUUCGGGUUGUAAACCGCUUUCGCCUGUGACGAAGCGUGAGUGACGGUAAUGGGUAAAGAAGCACCGGCUAACUACGUG
rnacentral:rRNA from 1 species